UUAUUUUUUUUAUUUUUUUUAUUCCAGCAUAGCAGAUCUGUGCAGUGUAUGAAACCAUACAAGACUGCUGUUUUUACAGCCAAGAUCUACAUUUUUUUUAAAGUAUUUUUUCCUCCUGUAAAAUUAUUUUGGUAAGACUGCAACUUGGUUGGGGUUAAUUACCCAACCCGCAAAGUGUAGACGAUGCACAAAGGCUUUACUGAUGAUUUGGGGUUCUUUUCUACUAUUGUAGAAACCUUUAGGGAGGUAGAGGGCAAAUAGAAUGAAGUACCUUUUUUUUUUUUUUUUUUGAUUUUCUUUCUUUGUUUUGUUUUGCUAAUGCUGAAAUAGAACAAAAGAGAAAGGUGUUAAAAUGUAGGAUAUAUUGUUUGAUACAGAAAUAGGGUAAAUUUU